GUGAAUCAUCAAAUUUUUGAACGCAAAUUGCACUCUCUGGUAUUCCGGAGAGUAUGCCUGUUUGAGGGUCAGUUUAAAUAAAAUCGGUGUUGUUGCUGCCUUUCGUGGUGACGCCCCGGAUGUGGGUCGUCUUUCCUUCGGGUAAGGGACCUAAAAUUUUGCAUGAUUUUUUCGAACGGAUUUAGAUUAUUUUACGUACGGUUGCGAUAUCGAAUACUAGGUUCGGUCAUCCUC
rnacentral:misc_RNA from 1 species